AACGCAUAUUGCGCUCUCUGGUAUUCCGGAGAGCAUGCUUGUUUGAGUAUCAGUAAACACCUCAGACUCUAUGAUUUGAUUAUUAUAGAGCUUGGAUUUGAAUGAUCCCAACACAAUUUUUUUUUUAAAAUUGUGGCGGGUUAUUUGAAAUGCAGGUGCAGCUGGACUUUCUUCUGAGCUAUAAGCAUAUUUAUUUAGUCCCGUAACAAGGAUUAUUACUUUUUGCUGCAGCUAACAUAAAGGUUGAUUGUUUCCUCAUGCUGACUGAUGCAGGAAUUUUGUAGGGAGAGUCAAAUCUCAUCUACUAAACUCGAUCUCAAAUCAAGUAAGACUACCCGCUGAACUUAA
rnacentral:misc_RNA from 1 species